GUGCCAGCAGCCGCGGUAAUACAGAAGGUGCAAGCGUUAAUCGGAAUUACUGGGCGUAAAGCGCGCGUAGGUGGUUUGUUAAGUUGGAUGUGAAAGCCCCGGGCUCAACCUGGGAACUGCAUCCAAAACUGGCAAGCUAGAGUACGGUAGAGGGUGGUGGAAAUUUCCUGUGUAGCGGUGAAAUGCGUAGAUAUAGGAAGGAACACCAGUGGCGAAGGCGACCACCUGGACUGAUACUGACACUGAGGUGCGAAAAGCGUGGGGAGCAAACAGGAUUAGAUACCCUGGUAGUCC
rnacentral:rRNA from 1 species